UAAACAGUUGUCUUAUCAACACAUACUCCCUUAUUCUCCUCCAUUAAAAAAGCUCUAAAUCUUCGAUCAAUCCCUUCCUCUUUCAAUCCAACACUAGUAAAGUGGUCUAGCAUAUACUUGGAGUUGUCUAAGGUUGUUGAUUGUGCAUCUACUACUUCUUUUUGACUAAGGUCUCCAAUACAGACACUAUAUAUUGCAGGCAUCCCGACUCCGUACCAUGGGAGAUAAACGCACGGAUUAUUCCUUACGUACAGCGAGCACGGUUAUACGACUUCCACCUUGUCGCAUACGGUAGGGUGGAUCGUGCGUUGGUUACCGCUUUGGUGGAGCGAUGGCGUCAAGAGACGCACACUUUCCACCUUCCUUUAGGUGAGGCUACCAUCACUCUCCUUGAUGUAUUUGUAUUAACACGACUUUCCAUCGAGGGACAUGUGUGUACUGUUGGACGCCAGCUAAAUAGCUGGCGAGAUUUGGUCGAGAGGGUACUUGGAGUGCGACCUCCGACAAACAUAGCCCAAGGGAGUGGGUUGUGCGUUGCAUGGUUAGCACAUAUAACUUCUCGCACCUCCCUGAAGGUGCUGAUGAGUUCACUAUAGAGAGGUAUGCUAAGGCGUAUAUAUUUUACUUGCUUGGUGCAGUCUUGUUUGCCGACAAGACUGGUAAUCAAGUACAAAUUUUGUAUUUGACGUUGCUUGAUGCGCCUUGGGAGCGCAUUGCCGGAUACAGCUGAGGUUCCGCAACCCUAGGCUAUCUGUACAGACGGCUCUGCGGUGCUUCAUGGAUAAACGUGAAGGAGAUUGCUGGACCAUUAGUUAUACUCCAAGUAAUUUAAACUUAAAAAUUAUGAUUGUUUUGUUUCUCAAUACGUUUGGAUUCCUACAUUUACUUAUUUGUAUAAUAGUCAUAGAUUUGAGCUUGGGAGCACAUUUUCAUUGGGUAACCAAUGAGAAUUGUUGGACGUGGUGCUGUUGCACCUCCAAUCAAUCCCCAUCCAGAGGUUCCAUAUAGAUCUCGAUUUGUCGAAGCACAUCUUGUCGAGCGUGUAUUUCGCCAGUAUGGGAUUGUAUAGGGCAUCCCCUCGCCAUGUGAUACGGAGGUUGAGCUCCAUCUCACCUCACGUAAGGGUCGGGACCCGAAGAAUUCACUUGAGAUCAAUGGGCGACACAUCACUCGCUGGGAUCGACGGUUGGAGCUGCUGGCACAAGAUGCGCCAAUUGAUGUUGUAGGCGUACCUACUUCUACGGAUUACAUGGUGUGGUUCCUCUCCAUCACUCGCCGAUGGAUGGCACCACGAGGUAUCAUUACAGCAACUCAGUACGCCCCCGCCUCAAUGAUGAUGACACAGUUUGCACAAGGCCCCGCAUCCGUGAUCAGCUCCAGUCAAGAGGAGCCUGUACGGGAGAUUGCCCAAGGCAUUCUUCUAGGGGCCCAGUUCCUGCACUUCAUUCUAGAAGUGGCUGCGCUGGACAUCUCAGGGGACGUGCAGAGGGAAUCUCCUCCUCACGACGACGUACAUUUGGAGGAGAUCGACCUGACGUACCCCCAGGAUGUUGAGGGGUUCUCACAGGGUGCGGGAUCAUCCCAAGGUGCGGUGUCAUUCUAGUAUCAAUCACCUCCCCUCCCCGAACGCCAUAUGACUAUUUCUUACUAUCGUAAGAGGCGAUCUAGACCAUCACAUCUAGAGAGGGUGCAAGAGGAGGAUAAGCAUUAGUGUAUUGUUUGUAGAAUAUCGAACAUUUGUGUACAU